AAAAGAAGGUGACCUGUAGACAGGUCAAGGACAGUAAAGUCAUUCAGCCCAGGUUUUCCCCCACUCUCUUGCUGUCAUUCACCUCUCCAACUGUUUGCUCCUGUCCCACAGGGACUGCUCAUUGCCUAGCUGCCUCCUGCUCACUACAUUGAACUGCCCCUCCGACGGAGAACACCUUCACAGGGAUGGGGUUGCUGUAUGGUCCCCCUCAAGGGGACUUAUCAUCACAGCUUGCUCCUAACAUUCCUUCAUGCAUUUUAGUUGUCUGCAGCUGGUGCCUGUGGGAGACCCCACUGUGGUUCUUUUGUCCACAACUGAAGUAGCCAGGGGGGCGGCGGAGCACACAUCAGAGAUUCAGUGGAACCAAGAUUUGAGAGGGAUCUCCCUGCAUUACUGAGGAGAAAGACGAGAAGAUACAGAAAAGAGAAACUUGCCCAAAUCUGAGAGUGGAGCCAAAACGAGGAGGAGGGAGGAGGUGGCCAGAUGUGGGCCAGCCAAAACCCAGGGAGGCAGAGAUAUAUUCCUGAGGCAAGAGAUGUCCCAUUCAAACUAUCCCUAGAUAUUCCAAAUUCCUUUGAAAACAGGAGAAAUUAGCAUGUCUUGAAAGGCACAAGGGCAGGAAAUGAAGGAAGAGGAGAGGCCCAGCAUGGGGAAGUCAUUCUGGGCUGUGACAUCACAGGCAGCGCACCUGUCAGGGCAGUGGAGAACUGCCGCCUACUUCUUACCACUGAGGACCAGACUGUGCCUGUCUCCACCAUGGGCUCCGGGUUCCUCUGCUGUAUGGUCCUCUGCCUCCUGGGAGCAGCACCCCUGGACACAACAGUUUCCCAGACUCCAAGAUACCUCAUCGCGCACGUGGGAUCGAAGAAGUUACUAAAAUGUGAGCAAAAUCUGGGCCAUAAUGCUAUGUACUGGUAUAAGCAAGACCUCAAGCAACUGCUGAAGAUCAUGUUUAUCUACUUUAAUCAGGGACUCAAUCUAAAUGAAUCAGUUCCAGGUCGUUUCUCACCUGAGACAUCUGACAAAGCUCAUUUAAACCUUCAUGUCGACUCCCUGGAGACAGGUGACUCUGCUGUGUAUUUCUGUGCCAGCAGCCUAGACACAGCCCUGCAAAGUCACUACCUCCCUGUGCACAAACCCCCCGGCCCAGCCAGGAAGCUGUGGGGCUACAUGUUCACCUGAUCCUGAGGCUCCAUUCACCCCCCAGGAGAUCCCGUAUCAGAAUUUCCAGUCUGUAGUACAGGCUGCUCAUAUGCCUGAUUGGACAGUUCUACCAUUAUUGUCAUACAAGUGUCCAGAAUUCCAAUUAUCAGCUGGAGCAAUAAAUUCACUGAAGUUCUAAUGAUUUCCAAUAAACUCACUGAAGUACUCAGGAUUUCAGAAACAAGAAAGGACUUUGUCCCAUGUGCUAAAGAUCUUACAUGGUGGAAGGAGCCAUUCCUUGAAUGUCUCUGCUGUACAUUUGGGUGCCAAUGGUACAAACAUUGUGACCGAAUACACGCAAUUCACUAAAAAUAGUUGAUGAGCAAAAUCCUAGGGAGGAAACGAGGUAAUGAUGAAACUAUCUAAGGAUGUAAGGAAAUUCAGAUCAUCACUGAGUUUGCUGAAUAAAAUAUUCUUGGAGAAGCAUGAAAGUUCUGGCAACAGGUGAACUAGAAAGAAUGUGUUGGGGAUAAGCCCCAGGAGGGGUAGGCUUGUGCUCUGCAGACUCCCUCCUUUCCAGAAGGAUGACCAGGGUCACUCUUUC